AGAGUUUGAUCAUGGCUCAGGAUGAACGCUAGCUACAGGCUUAACACAUGCAAGUCGAGGGGAAACGACAUCGAAAGCUUGCCUUUGAUGGGCGUCGACCGGCGCACGGGUGAGUAACGCGUAUCCAACCUGCCCACCACUUGGGGAUAACCUUGCGAAAGUAAGACUAAUACCCAAUGACGUCUCUAGAAGACAUCUGAAAGGGAUUAAAGAUUUAUCGGUGAUGGAUGGGGAUGCGUCUGAUUAGCUUGUUGGCGGGGUAACGGCCCACCAAGGCUACGAUCAGUAGGGGUUCUGAGAGGAAGGUCCCCCANAUUGGAACUGAGACACGGUCCAAACUCCUACGAGAGGCA
rnacentral:rRNA from 1 species